UGCAUCGGCCGGGAAUCGAACCGGGGCCGCCUGCAUGGCAUGCGAGCAUUUUACCACUGAACCAUCGAUGC
rnacentral:tRNA from 1 species